AGUCCGACGAUACAGGGUGAUAGUCCCGUAGUUGACGACGUGUGUUCAGUGAAAUCGAGUAGGGCGGGACACGUGAUAUCCUGUCUGAAUAUGGGGGGACCAUCCUCCAAGGCUAAAUACUACUGACUGACCGAUAGUGAACCAGUACCGUGAGGGAAAGGCGAAAAGAACCCCUGUGAGGGGAGUGAAAUAGAACCUGAAACCGUGUACGUACAAGCAGUAGGAGCAGGCUUUGUCCUGUGACUGCGUACCUUUUGUAUAAUGGGUCAGCGACUUAUAUUCAGUGGCAAGGUUAACCAUCUAGGGGAGCCGUAGGGAAACCGAGUCUUAACUGGGCGUUCAGUCUCUGGAUAUAGACCCGAAACCAGGUGAUCUAGCCAUGGGCAGGUUGAAGGUUGAGUAACAUCAACUGGAGGACCGAACCGACUAAUGUUGAAAAAUUAGCGGAUGACUUGUGGCUAGGGGUGAAAGGCCAAUCAAACCUGGAGAUAGCUGGUUCUCCCCGAAAGCUAUUUAGGUAGCGCCUCGGACGAAUACUACUGGGGGUAGAGCACUGUUAAGGCUAGGGGGUCAUCCCGACUUACCAACCCUUUGCAAACUCCGAAUACCAGUAAGUACUAUCCGGGAGACACACGGCGGGUGCUAACGUCCGUCGUGGAGAGGGAAACAACCCAGACCGCCAGCUAAGGUCCCAAAUUACUACUAAGUGGGAAACGAUGUGGGAAGGCUCAGACAGCCAGGAUGUUGGCUUAGAAGCAGCCAUCAUUUAAAGAAAGCGUAAUAGCUCACUGGUCGAGUCGGCCUGCGCGGAAGAUGUAACGGGGCUAAGUAGUAAACCGAAGCUGCGGCAAUAUACUUUUGUAUAUUGGGUAGGGGAGCGUUCUGUAAGCGGUUGAAGGUGUGUGGUAACGCAUGCUGGACGUAUCAGAAGUGCGAAUGCUGACAUGAGUAACGAUAAAGGGGGUGAAAAACCUCCUCGCCGGAAGACCAAGGGUUCCUGUCCAACGUUAAUCGGGGCAGGGUAAGUCGACCCCUAAGGCGAGGCCGAAAGGCGUAGUCGAUGGGAAACGGGUUAAUAUUCCCGUACUUCUUACAAUUGCGAUGGGGGGACGGAGAAGGCUAGGUGGGCCUGGCGACGGUUGUC
rnacentral:rRNA from 1 species